GAUGAACGCUGGCGGCGUGCUUAACACAUGCAAGUCGAACGGGAAACCUUUUAUUGAAGCUUCGGCAGAUUUAGCUGGCUUCUAGUGGCGGCCGGGUGAGUAACGCGUGGGUAACCUGCCCUAUACAGGGGGAUAACAACCAGAAAUGGUUGCUAAUACCGCAUAAGCGCACAGGGCCGCAUGGUCCGGUGUGAAAAACUCCGGUGGUAUAGGAUGGACCCGCGUUGGAUUAGCCAGUUGGCAGGGUAACGGCCUACCAAAGCGACGAUCCAUAGCCGGCCUGAGAGGGUGGACGGCCACAUUUGGACUGGGACGCGGCACAGACUCCUACGGGAGGCAGCAGUGGGGAACAUUGCACAGUGGGGGAAACCAUGAUGCAGCGACGCCGCGUGAAGGAAGAAGUAACUCGGUAUGUAAUCUUCUAUCAGCAGGGAACAUAGUGACGGUACCUGACCAAGAAGCCCCGGCUAACUACGUG
rnacentral:rRNA from 1 species